rnacentral:rRNA from 1 species
UGGCGGCAUGCCUAACACAUGCAAGUCGAACGGCAGCGNGNGAAAGCUUGCUUUCCUGGCGGCGAGUGGCGGACGGGUGAGUAACGCGUAGGAAUCUACCCAGUAGUGGGGGACAACCCGGGGAAACUCGGGCUAAUACCGCAUACGCCCUACGGGGGAAAGCGGGGGACCUUCGGGCCUCGCGCUAGUGGAUGAGCCUGCGUCGGAUUAGCUUGUUGGUGGAGUAAAAGCCCACCAAGGCGACGAUCCGUAGCUGGUCUGAGAGGACGACCAGCCACACUGGGACUGAGACACGGCCCAGACUCCUACGGGAGGCAGCAGUGGGGAAUAUUGGACAAUGGGGGCAACCCUGAUCCAGCAAUGCCGCGUGUGUGAAGAAGGUCUUCGGGUUGUAAAGCACUUUCAGUGGGGACGAAAAGCCUGAGGUUAAUACCUUCGGGUCUUGACGGUACCUACAGAAGAAGCACCGGCUAACUCCGUGCCAGCAGCCGCGGUAAUACGGAGGGUGCGAGCGUUAAUCGGAAUUACUGGGCGUAAAGCGUGCGUANGCGGUUCGGUAAGUCAGAUGUGAAAGCCCUGGGCUCAACCUGGGAACUGCAUUUGAUACUGUCGAGCUAGAGUUUGGUAGAGGGAAGUGGAAUUCCCGGUGUA